CAGUUAACUAAAACUAUUCAUUAUUUCUAUCAUUGAUACCUUGGUCUAAAGGGACACUAGAGUCACCAGAACCACUACAGCUUAAUGUAGUUGUUCUGGUGUCUACAGCCUUUUCAAUGUUAACACUGACUUUUCAGAGAAAAGGCAGUGUUUUCAUUGCUGACUAGUAACACCUCUAGUGCCAGUCACUCAGAAAGCCACUAUAGGUGCUUCGUGGUCUAGUGCUGCACAAUACUCAUUUAUGACAUUACAGUGUUCCUUUUACUUUGCAUUCUUGCUUUAUAAAUCUCUACAAAGAAGCAAAAGUGUUGGGGUCUUACAACUCUAAACCUCUUCCGGCUCAAAUUGUGUAAUCAUAUCUGCUAAUUAAAAUUACUAUGUUUGUAGAAAAAAAUACUUGAUCUGCAUGUGCUUGUUAGCAGGCAAAUUACAGAUCCUUUUAUGGACAAGUAAUUUGGAUCCAAAAUGGUUAUUAUUCUGACCCUAAUUUUAAAACCCUCAUAAGAGCCAUAAUAUUUAAGUAUAAUGUAUAGUGAAAAUGCAAUUUUGGGGUUAUUUUUUUUUCCCCGUAAUACACAGCUACUCCACUUCUGAUUUGCUCCUCUUAUCAUUAGAGAAUCACGAUGUUUCUGUGGAGAGGGACUGAACAUAACUUCCUAACUUCCACCAAUGUCAAGCAGGGAACCUGGUGCUGCCCUAGGAUUAGCACUCUGUGCCACAUUGCCCAACAUGGGUUUACUUCAGGGAGAUCAU